AUUGAACGCUGGCGGCAGGCCUAACACAUGCAAGUCGAGCGAGCGGCGGACGGGUGAGUAAUGUCUGGGAAUCUGCCCGAUAGAGGGGGAUAACUACUGGAAACGGUAGCUAAUACCGCAUACUAUCGGAUGUGCCCAUAUGGGAUUAGCUAGUAGGUGGGGUAACGGCUCACCUAGGCGACGAUCCCUAGCUGGUCUGAGAGGAUGACCAGCCACACUGGAACUGAGACACGGUCCAGACUCCUACGGGAGGCAGCAGGGGGGAAUAUUGCACAAUGGGCGCAAGCCUGAUGCAGCCAUGCCGCGUGUAUGAAGAAGGCCUUCGGGUUGUAAAGUACUUUCAGCGGGGAGGCGUUACCCGCAGAAGAAGCACCGGCUAACUCCGUGCCAGCAGCCGCGGUAAUAC
rnacentral:rRNA from 1 species